AGUGAACGCUGGCGGUAGGCCUAACACAUGCAAGUCGAACGGCAGCACAGUAAGAGCUUGCUCUUACGGGUGGCGAGUGGCGGACGGGUGAGGAAUACAUCGGAAUCUACUUUUUCGUGGGGGAUAGCGUAGGGAAACUUACGCUAAUACCGCAUACGACCUACGGGUGAAAGCAGGGGAUCUUCGGACCUUGCGCGAUUGAAUGAGCCGAUGUCGGAUUAGCUAGUUGGCGGGGUAAAGGCCCACCAAGGCGACGAUCCGUGGCUGGUCUGAGAGGAUGAUCAGCCACACUGGAACUGAGACACGGUCCAGACUCCUACGGGAGGCAGCAGUGGGGAAUAUUGGACAAUGGGCGCAAGCCUGAUCCAGCCAUACCGCGUGGGUGAAGAAGGCCUUCGGGUUGUAAAGCCCUUUUGUUGGGAAAGAAAAGCAGCAGGUUAAUACCCCGCUGUUCUGACGGUACCCAGAGAAUAAGCACCGGCUAACUUCGUG
rnacentral:rRNA from 1 species